GUUGGUUAAUUUCUCAUUCCGGAAAAUUUAACUCCAUCACUACCAUGUUGGGGGUUCCUUAAUGCCAGAUAACAUUUCCAGGAAAGCAAAGAGAGGUAUACACCACUAAUAGCAGAGCAUAAAGGAUGGCUGGGAGAUUUGAUAAACUUACUGUUGUAGGAGAACAAUUUCAAGCAUUGAUAUAUAUUGGAAAAUUGUGCUGUCAGUCUUUUGUAUGACUUGGAGGACAAGCUUCCCCUUGAAAACUGGAACAAAUGUGAAAUGAAGAAUGUGUAUCUUCAUAUUGAGAACUUUUCCUUGUAAAUCACCUCUGGGAAAAAAUUUAUUUCAUAUCAAUUGAUUGUGUUCAUUAUCUGGUCUAAUUUUAUAUUUGUAAUUUUUUUUUAAAAUUGCAUGGCGAAACACAUUUUUGCUCACCUGAGUCAAAAGCUUAAAUGAGUUUUUUGA